rnacentral:rRNA from 1 species
GUAGGGUGCAAGCGUUGUCCGGAAUUAUUGGGCGUAAAGAGCUCGUAGGCGGUUUGUUGCGUCGGCUGUGAAAUCCCGAGGCUCAACCUCGGGUCUGCAGUCGAUACGAGCAAACUAGAGUGUUGCAGGGGAGACUGGAAUUCCUGGUGUAGCGGUGAAAUGCGCAGAUAUCAGGAGGAACACCGGUGGCGAAGGCGGGUCUCUGGGCAACAACUGACGCUGAGGAGCGAAAGCGUGGGGAGCGAACAGGAUUAGAUACCCUGGUAGUCCACGCCGUAAACGUUGGGCACUAGGUGUGGGGCUCGAUCGACGGGCUCCGUGCCGUAGCUAACGCAUUAAGUGCCCCGCCUGGGAAGUACGGCCGCAAGGCUA